rnacentral:lncRNA from 12 species
AUGCAGAUUCUAAUUCAAGAGAUCCAAGCCGGUCCCCAAGACUGCAUCUCUAAUAAGCUUCCAGGAGAUGCUGUGGACAUAGACAAAGUAUCUGCAGGACUGAAGAAGGACCAGAACACAAAACAGGAGCAAGUAGACGGGAUCUCCAAGGCCCAGCCAUCCUCCUACUCCUUCCCAGUCACAGACCCUGAGUGCCACCCUCCCUUCCCUACACACAGCAGGACUCAGCUCCUUCCCGACAUGAUGUCACAGGUCCCCGGACAUUCCACAGUAUCCUGGAGACCAAGGCGGGUGAAGCUGAGGACCUUCAGGGGAAGGUCUUCCUCCUUCGGCUGGAGGGAACAUGGCAGGGAACAGAGGAAUGACCGUGUUUGUCCUGCUGCUGUCCUGCUGGCACGAAGCCAAGCUCCAUCCAGUAAGAAUAUUUUCAGUUACACGCAGGCCGCCAUCCCGCACGUUCUGCGACACCCGCUGUGUCGUUCCCGGGGGUCUGGUGCCCCGUCCAACCCGCCCCACCGUCCACGUAAACCUGUCCCUGCUGAGGUAAGGCAGACAUGCAACGCGGCCGCAGCUGGUCCCCGCGGUCCCCGUCACAGGCGGGCCGGCCCCCGCGGGCCCCGGGCUCGGUCCUGCCGCCCCGGCCCCUCCUCGUGCUGGAUCCGAGGGGCCCGGAGGCCGGGACCGGAUGCGACUCUGUGCCUCGCAGGCCGCGGGGACUCAGGGCAGCAGGAAGGGGGGUGCUCCGGGACCGCCCCCCUUCCCGCCAGGAAGCUCCGCGCUCAGGCCACCUGCCCCCUCUCCCACCUCCAUCGGGGGCACUGAGGAUGGAAGGAAAGAGGCCGUGGUGGGCCCCCAGCCCCAGCUCCCGGGGGGACGCGCGGGCCCCGGAGGGUCACCCGAAGGGUUUGUGCGGUGCCUGGGAGCAGGAGCACGGGGGCCACACCGGCCUCCCGCCCUGGCCGGGCCCACGCCUGCCCAGGGGACAGCUGGCCCGCACUCCCACCUUCCUCUUCUGAAUGAAACGGUUCCAAGGCACUGAGGAAGGUCAGAUCCUCUGUGGGGCCGUGGGCACAAAGGGUCUGUGACGGGCAGAACACUGCCCCGGGUUCCGAGCCAUCCCGCACGUCCCUCCAGCCCUCCCUGCUCACAGGUCACCUGCCAGCGGCCCGGGAGCGGCCCCCAGGGCGGAUGGACGAGCUCCUGCGGCAGCCCCGGCCAGCCUGCCCCCCACACCUGCUCCGCCAGCUAGUCCAGAUGGGGACCCAGGGGCCAUCGGGUCUCCUCGGCUGGGAAGGCCAGCUAAGGGCCGUCUCUAGACCGUUCCCUGAAAGUGAACAUUGGGGUUCCUUGUGUGCUCGCAGCCGGGGCGCAGGGGCGCACGAGCACCGGGCUCCGGGCCCCACACCGACCGGCUCUGGCCACUGGCCGCUGACAAAACCCCCAGGCAGAGCGGCAGUGGUGGUGACGCAGGACGGGAGCUUGUCGGGGAGCCGACCCCAGGCGGACAGCAGCCUCGCGUCUCCGUCUCCAAAGCGCUGGAAACACGGCAGCUUUCUCUGAGGACACAUGGGCCAGAGGCUGGUGGCGGCGGGCAGGUGCGGGCAGGUGCGGGCAGGUGUGGGGGACAGUCAGGCGGUCCUGGGGGUCAGGCCCUGGCGGGGUCCCGCCGGCUCCGGGCAGGCCUGGCCCAGGAGGGUCAAGCGCUUUGCUCCCCGCAUCUUCUGCCUGAGUGAAGAGACAAGCCGGAAAAGCUCGAGGUCAAAGCCGAGGUAGUUAAGUUCCCGUCACGCUUCCGGGGCCUUCCCGCUUCCUCGGGCACCAC